UUUCCUUGAGGCCGCCGCCCGGGGUGGGACCAGGCUGUGUGCUUGCUAACUGUGCUUCAGGAAUCCGCUCUGGGAUGCCUUCCUGUCUGGCAAAAGGGGUUACCCCCAGUUCUACCCAGUCCCUGUCCUCGGUCACAUGCUGCCGCCGCCUCUUCCCCCGCGGUGCCGGGAGCCCGCGUUUUGUUUGUCAGCAGUUAGGCGGUGAGUAUUUAUAGACGCCACGGCAGUCCUGCGGUGCGCAAGGUUUCAAUUACUGCGAUGCGCCCCACAAGACGAAAGGUUCACGCGCUGCGUCUGAGCUGCACGUCUGCCCCGGAGACCCGCGUGGAAAAAGCUCUGGGCUGGAAUCUCCGGGCUUCCCUGCUUGGGCAGAAUUCUGGACCUGUUGCCCAGACGACACGUGCACAUUCAGAUGACCCAUGCUAAGGACCAAAGGGAUGCCACCGGCCCAAUGUACUGCCUUCAUCCCCCACCAUCCUCAAGGGACCCUUGCUGAUCAAGCCCGGGAGACUACCCUUUUUGACCUCUCUUUGGUGAUCCUGACCACCGUAGAAAUUUGCAGUCAUGACAUUUCAUUGCCCUACAUACUGCAAAAUGUCAAAGUGCUGAGCUGUGGUAAAUUGCUCUGGGGUGGAAGGCGCUGUUACUGACAACACGAAGCAGCUAGCGGGUCAGGAGGGGAAAUGGAGCUUGCAGAAACUAAUUUAGCCACAUUUAAAAUUUAGCCCCUGGUAAGGUUCCCAGUAUGACUGACGAAGGUGCAGGGCUCCUGUCUGUGGAACCUGGCUGGUUAGUCUUCUCUGGUUGCAGCCCUAGAAUCAGGAUCAAGGGUGCUGUUUAGAGCGGUUUCUGUAGCAUGUAGCCUUUCAGAUAAGGGAAGUGAUGCUUGGUCAAUCCACAAAGUUGUCUUCAGUUUUUCCAACUGCAACCAUUGUUCUUUGAGUAUGUUACUGAUGCUUCUAACAACUGGAACCACUAAUAUGUAAAAGAAGAAAGGCACUAGAAAUAAGAAAGUCUAACUAGCUUAUUUCUCAAAGGCUUAGUUUAGACUACUUUGUUUCUCAAGGGUGGGACCUCAUUUCUUUCAGGUCCAGAGGGCCAUGGAUAUAUAUUUAUUUCUGUGGGUGAAAUUUCAAUAAUGUUCUGUCUUAGAACAUUACAAAUAUGUGCCACUUGUUUUAAAAAGGGGAAAGGUGCAAAUGCCUCUUGAGGUCUUAAUGAUGUCUUAAACUUUGCACUGAGAGACUUUGAUAAUAUUAUAUACUCCUCAUGCAAACAAUGAUAUAGGUACUAUUAUAUCCCUAUCAUAUAGAUGAGCCCACUGAGGCUUGGAGAAUUUAAGUAAUUUGUCUAAAGCCAUACACACAGGGAUGGAGCUGAGAAUGGAUUACAGAUUUGUUACUCCAGACUCAUAGUCUGGACAUGUCUUUCCCUUCAAUUCUCCAUUGUUGAUUAGCUCACGUUAUAGUUGAUUAGAUGGAUGGCUUUUUAUUUAUUUUCAAAAUUUCACAGAAUGUUACAAAUUGGCUCAGUUAUUGGGGAAAAAAGCCCUAAUCUUGUCUUUAGAAAACUGUUAUAUUGGUUAUCUGAAAAUCUCUUGCUGAUAGUCCAGACCUAAAUCAUAAUCCUCACUUUGCUCCUUGACUUAAUGUAUCUUCAGCAUUAAAGCCAUUUAUCUGUAGAAAA
rnacentral:lncRNA from 10 species